rnacentral:rRNA from 1 species
UACGUAGGGUGCGAGCGUUAAUCGGAAUUACUGGGCGUAAAGGGUGCGCAGGCGGUCCCGCAAGUCAGGCGUGAAAUCCCCGAGCUUAACUUGGGAAUUGCGCUUGAAACUAUGGGACUCGAGUGUGGCAGAGGAGGUGGAAUUCCACGUGUAGCGGUGAAAUGCGUAGAUAUGUGGAGGAACACCGAUGGCGAAGGCAGCCUCCUGGGCCAACACUGACGCUCAGGCACGAAAGCGUGGGGAGCAAACAGG